rnacentral:misc_RNA from 1 species
GAUGAAGGACGCAGCGAAAUGCGAUACUUGGUGUGAAUUGCAGAAUCCCGUGAACCAUCGAGUCUUUGAACGCAAGUUGCGCCCGAAGCCAUUAGGCCGAGGGCACGCCUGCCUGGGCGUCACACGUCGUUGCCCCCCCAUCUACUCCUUCGGGAUUGCGGGGGGCGGAUGAUGGCCUCCCGUGCGCCUCGUCGCGCGGUUGGCAUAAAUGCCAAGUCCUCGGCGACGCACGCCACGACAAUCGGUGGUUGCGAAACCUCGGUUGCCCGUCGUGUGCGGUCGUCGCGCAUCGAGGGCUCGAAAAAAUUGCCGGGCUCCGGCUCGGCUUUCAACGCGACCCCAGGUCAGGCGGGGUUACCCGCUGAAUUUAAGCAUAUCAAUAAGCGGAGGA